rnacentral:rRNA from 1 species
GACUAACGCUAACGGUGUGCUUAAUACAUGCAAGUCGAACGAGCAAUGUGAGAGUGGCAACACUCCUGCAAAGCUAGUGGCGAACGGGUGAGUAACGCGUAGGUAAUCUACCUUGAAGAUUAGGAUAACCUUCCGAAAGGAAGGCUAAUACUAAAAUUUUAUAUUUUUCGUAUGAUUAAUAUAACAAAGGUAGCCGCAAGGCCUCCGCUUUAAGAUGAACCUGCGUCCUAUUAGCUUGUUGGUAAGGUAAUGGCUUACCAAGGCUAUGAUGGGUAGCCGGCCUGAGAGGGUGAUCGGCCGCACUGGGACUGAGAUACGGCCCAGACUCCUACGGGAGGCAGCAGUAGGGAAUAUUGCGCAAUGGGCGAAAGCCUGACGCAGCGACACCGUGUGAAGGAUGAAGGUCUUCGGAUCGUAAACUUCUGUCAAUCGGGGACGAAGGUAAUAAGGUUAAUAGCCUUUAUUAUUGACGGUACCCAAUAAGGAAGUCUCGGCUAACUCCGUGCCAGCAGCCGCGGUAAGACGGAGGAGGCAAGCGUUGUCCGGAAUCAUUGGGCGUAAAGAGCGCGUAGGCGGUUUUUCAAGUCGUAUGUGAAAACUUCAGGCUUAACCUGAUGAUUGCAUAUGAAACUGGAUAACUUGAGUACAGCAGAGGAAAGUGGAAUUCCUGGUGUAGCGGUGAAAUGUGCAGAUAUCAGGAAGAACACCGGUAGCGAAGGCGGCUUUCUGGGCUGUUACUGACGCUGAGGCGCGAAAGCUAGGGGAGCAAACAGGAUUAGAUACCCUGGUAGUCCUAGCCGUAAACGAUGGACACUAGGUGUGGGAAGUUAUCGACGCUUUCUGUGCCGAAGCUAACGCAUUAAGUGUCCCGCCUGGGGAGACGGCCGCAAGGCU